rnacentral:lncRNA from 1 species
UGACCUUUAAUGCUAACUAACGCCUGUUGGACCAGGGGCACUUCAAGAAAAAGACAAAAGACACGAAAGUUGAGAAAUGUGAAGCUGAUGUAUAGCACAGAUACACAGGAACCACAAGCAGUAGCGAAGGCAAAGGGUCAUCUUGUCCCUGCGUUCACUUUAUAAGGCCCAGAGGAGAUGCAAGGCCACAGCUGGGCCUCAGCAGAGAGGAGCCAUUAACAUUGUGCUCCACCAUUUUCUCUAUGUAAAGGGCCGAGUGCCCGUGCUCAUAGGCAAACGGACCCCAAAGGUGGCCCAUAGCUGCAGUAAAAAUCCAGCUGAUUCCAAAUCAGGCAUCAGACUGAUACCAAGGCCAGGGAGUAGCAACUGUAGCCCUUUUUACACCUACAGUAAGAGAUGACUUUACACAACAGACACGAAGAAGCACAGGUUCAGAAAGACAGCUAUUAUACUAUUUACUAUACUAUUUACUUUCCAAAUCUGCGGAUGCUUAUGUAAUUUGGUUGAUCAUUCUAGAUCUUUUACUAAACCAGUGCCUGGCACCAUUUCGGUAAACAUUUAUAUUAUACGGUGAACUGGACCAGAACAGCACAUCUUUGACAUAAAAAUGCCAGAGCCAAGGGAGAACUGUAAACUGGAAUUAUAUGUGGGGAAGAGGAAGCAGGUCGGCAGAUAGUACGUAACUGCUCUGGCUAUUCAUCAGCUACAGUAGCAUCAGCUCCAGGGGUGUAGCGCUGCAGUUGCCCAUCAGCCAGCUGUUGAGCUAUAAAUGGCAGAAGGCCUCAUGUACAUAAAUUCUCUGAAACUUCGCCAGCAAGAUGUUUUUGUUUACAGUGGACAUUGGUGUUUUGUGUAUCAGUGAGUGCUCAGGUAGAGUCUGCUUUCCAGCAUUUGUGUGCUUACCUUAGAAACAGCGACUCAUGCACUCUGCAGUUUGUGAACGAUGCAAUGUUGUACAGUCAAUUACUAAUCUAGUUGAUCUGCUUCCAUUAGUAACUACUAUACAUGAGGAAGCAAUGUAGUAGACAUCUCUUUUCUCUGUAUAAAGAGAGGGAUAGUGUAACAAUAAAAGAUGACCUGAUUCACUAAUCUUCCA